ACUGGAGUCACCAGGCUGUGAGCACCUCUGCUGCUUCUGGGGUCGCCUGGGUCUCAUGUUCCCCCGCUGGUUCUCUGUGGGCUUAGGUGCUGCUGCCCUGUGCACCACCUGUGCUGCUGCUCCUAGCCACAAGCACUGUGCCUGCAACAGCAGUUGAAUGAAUGGCAAUGAAUGGGGUCCCAGUAUACAAAGAGAGCUGCAGGGCAAGGUCCUGCAGACAGACCCGUGUGGUGGAAACGUAAGCAGUUCAAUUAUCCAGCUAAUCAUCCUGGCUCUGAGUCUAUGUUCACAGGCAAGUUUCAGAUGAAUGUUGGGAGACAGUUCUCCCAGGGUCUCUUGGGUUUCCUUUGUUCUGGACAAUCUUUUCAAGGGUAUUUGUAUAGCGUGCAGGCCUGAAAAGAGAGAGUGUCUCUGGAGCAUAGGGCAGGCAUGCUUAUAGAAGAUUCGGGUUCCCUAAGCUCAGGGUUCC
rnacentral:lncRNA from 1 species